rnacentral:lncRNA from 1 species
CAAUUCCAUAGGUUCAACUUUCUGAUUCUCACCGACCGCUCCUAGAGCAAGUGGCAAAGGGUUUGGUGGUUGGUACCCGAGGUCCCAAGUUCGAAUCCUAAUUGAUUCACAUUUCUAGCUAAGUUUAUUUCUAAAUGAAAUAAAUGAAGCGGGUAGCGUGCUAUCUAUCUCUCUAAAAAAAAAAAAAAACUUUCUAAUUCUCACUGACCGUUUCUAGAGCAAGUGGCAAAGGACUUGAUGGUUGGUAUUCGAGACCCAAGUUCGAAUCCUAGUUAAUUCACAUUUUCAGCUAAGUUUAUUUGUAAAUGAAAUAAACGAAGCGGGUAGCGUGCUACCUAUCUCUCAAAAAAAAAAAAACUUUUUGAUUCUCAAAAAUCAAAAAAAAAAAUUCAUAUUCACAACAUAUUUGUUAAAUAUAAAAAUAUUUAAAUACUGUUUUCUAUUACCGAUUGUUUCAUAUUAUUUAGUAUGUAGUAUCAGAGUCAAAGAUCUUGAGUUCAAUACAUAUAAAACAUCUAAUAUUAUUAUUAUUAUUUUUUAUUUAAUUAAAAUUCAUGUCAUGAGCUUAACGUAAAAUUUUGAAUUUAGAUGUGAAAGAAAAUGUUAAAUAUAAAAAUACUUAAACACCCUCCUUUAUUAACUUCAGUUUUUACAGUAGUAGUACAAUGAUUAUUUUAUAUAUAUUUAACAAUAUUUUGGCUCUCUUCAGAAUUACGAAAAGAAUACAUUAUUCACGGAGAGAAUUAUAAUAUGAUA